rnacentral:rRNA from 1 species
UCAAGCUACAAAGGGCAUGCGGUGGAUGCCUCGGCACCAGGGGCCGAAGAAGGGCGUGGCAAGCUGCGAAAAGCCCCGGGGAGCCGCAAGCAGGCUGUGAUCCGGGGAUGCCCGAAUGGGGAAACCUGGCGGGGAAAAUCCCCGUCACCGUUGGGUGAAUCCAUAGCCCAACGGGGGGCAGCCCGCGAACUGAAACAUCUUAGUAGCGGGACGAAAAGAAAGCAACCGCGAUGCCCCGAGUAGUGGCGAGCGAAAGGGGCACAGCCUAAACCGUCACCGUGUCAAAGCCCGCAGGCGUUGCGGUGACGGGGUAGCGGGACGGCACUGGAGGGGGCUGCGGACCCCUCAGGGAGUUACAAAACCUGGACCUAGCCGAAGCGGCCUGGAACGGCCCGCCGUAGAGGGUGAGAGCCCCGUAGGCGAAAGGUCAAAGGUCUCCCGGAGUGCCGCUCCCAAGUAGCUCGGGCCCCGUGAAAGCCUGAGCGAAUCUGGGGGGACCACCCCCUAAGGCUAAAUACCCCUGGUGACCGAUAGUGCACCAGUACCGUGAGGGAACGGUGAAAAGAACGGUGAGAAGCCGAGUGAAAGAGAACCUGAAACCGCAUGCCUACAAGCAGUCGGAGGGCUAUGCCCCACUUGUGUGGGGCACUGCCUGACGGCGUGCCUCUUGAAGAAUGAGCCGGGGAGUUGCCGUCGGUGGCGAGGUUAAGUGCCAUAAGGCACGGAGCCGUAGGGAAACCGAGUCUGAACAGGGCGUUGAGUCGCCGGCGGCAGACCCGAAACCGAGCGAGCUACCCCUGCCCAGGGUGAAGUGUCCUUAACCGGACACGGAGGCCCGAACCCAUCGGUGUUGCAAAACCGUGGGAUGAGGUGGGGGUAGCGGUGAAACGCCAACCGAGCUCGGAGAUAGCUGGUUCUCCCCGAAACACGUGUAGGCGUGGCGUCAGGACCUUCAGCGGUGGAGGUAGAGCGACGGAUGGGGGUAGGGGGUUGACAGCCUACCAAACCCCGUCCAACUCCGAAUGCCACCGCUGGUCCCUUGAGGGGCUAAGUCCUGGCAGUCGGACAUCGGGGGAUAAGCUCCGAUGUCGCGAGGGAAACAGCCCAGACCGCCAGCUAAGGUCCCUAAGUCUCGGCUCAGUGGAGAACGCAGUGGGACUCCGAAGACAGCCGGGAGGUUGGCUUAGAAGCAGCCAUCCUUUAAACAGUGCGUAACAGCUGACCGGCCGAGGAGUCCUGCGCGGAAGAUGUAGCGGGGCUAAGCCGAGCACCGAAGCUGCGGGCUUGGCGAGGUUGCUGCUUCGCAGCACUUCGUCAGGCGGUAGGGGAGCGUUCCGCUUGCUGCGAAGCCCGACCGAAAGGACGGGUGGAGCGGGCGGAAGUGAGAAUCCCGGCACGAGUAGCGAUAAGGCAGGUGAGAAUCCUGCCCGCCGGAAGCCCAAGGUUUCCGACGCAACGCUCGUCGGCGUCGGGUGAGGCGGUCCUAAGCCGAGGCCGUUCGGCGUAGGCGAUGGGCAGCGGGUUGAUAUUCCCGCCCCACCAACCUCCGCCAUCAGGGAUGGGUGACGCACCCAAGGGAGCCUACGCGGCGAUGGUCGUCCGCGGCGACCGUGGAGUCAGCCGUUUCUUGUGAACGGCUGGCUUGGCGGGAGUGAGCCGCCUUUGUGCGGCGAAGUGGCGACCCAAGGGGGCCAAGAAAAACCCUUACCGAGUCCGUCCCGAAAGGGACGGCGCGGAGCGUUGGUGACCGUACCGGAAACCGCCACAGGUGGGCGAGGAGAGUAUCCACAGGCGCGCGGGAUAACCCCCGCCAAGGAACUCUGCAAAAUGUCCCCGUAACUUCGGGAGAAGGGGAGCCGUAGUAGGGUGAAAGGACCUUCGCGUCCGAGUAGCCCGAGGCGGUCGCAGAUAAGCGGCCGGGGCGACUGUUUAACAAAAACACAGGUUCCUGCCAACCCGAAAGGGGAGGUAUAGGGGCCGACGCCUGGCCAGUGCCCGAAGGUUAAGGGGACGGGUUCGCCAGGUUCUCGCCUGGCAAAGCUCGCGCCCCGAAGCCCGGGUAAACGCCGGCCGUAACCCUGACGGUCCUAAGGUAGCCGAACGCUGCCCUUCAUCCCGGCAACGGGAUGAAUGCAGCCGGCUGUAUGCGGGGAAGUCCUUAGAGCCUGGCUUACGAGGCGCUGUAAAAGUGCCCGUAAAAAUAGCCAGGAUUGGACAACCCGCAGGAAACCUACCAAACGGUAGGGAUCCUCAGAGACUAUACGCUGGCCUCCAAUCUGAAGGUGAGUGCCUAUGCACCUUUCGCCCGACUGGGUUGUCGGUUUCACAGACGGUGAAGGUUGCUUCUUUGUCGGUAUUAACCGAAACCCAGCCACCGCAACCGGUUACCAAGUUCUGCCUGAGUUCGUGAUUGUCCAGCACAAACGGGAUAUCCAAAUUCUCUACGCGCUCAAACGCUUCUUCCGGCAUGGAGUUGUCCGACCCAACCACGGUGACCGAUACGCCUAUCGUGUCCGAGACCUACAGGGGCUUCGGAAAAUAUGCGAUUUCUUCCUCAAACACCCGCUAAAGACGAAAAAGCGGGUUGACUUCCUUCGUUUCAAUCGUAUCCUCACGAUGAUGGAGCGCGGUGACCACCUAAGGCUCGACGGAUUGUUGGAAAUCGCUAAAAUCGCCCUUCGCAUGAAUACAGAAAACCGCUCUCAGUUGGAGCAGAUCGUAGCGGGAAUUAGGCAACGCCUUCAGAUUGGAUGAAGAGAUAGUCCACCCCCAGCCGAAAGGUUGGGACAAGGUGAGCGAAAUUCCUUGUCGGGUAAGUUCCGACCCGCACGAAAGGCGUAACGACUUCGGCGCUGUCUCGGCGGGGGGCCCGGUGAAACUGUGGUGUCCGUGAAGACGCGGACUACCCGCGGCGGGACGGAAAGACCCCGUGGAGCUUUACUGCAGCCUGGCCUUGGGCUUUGGGGCGGGAUGCAGAGGAUAGGUGGGAGCCGGUGAAGCUCGCCCUCCGGGGCGGGUGGAGGCGCCCGUGGAAUACCACCCUUCCCGCUCUUGGGUCCUAACUUGGUCCCGUGAAUCCGGGUCAAGGACAGGGUCAGGUGGGCAGUUUGGCUGGGGCGGCGGCCUCCUAAAAGGUAACGGAGGCGUCCAAAGGUUCCCUCAGGGCGGAUGGAAAUCGCCCGUGGAGUGCAAAGGCAGAAGGGAGCCUGACUGUGAGGCUUACAAGCCGAGCAGCCGCGAAAGCGGGGCUUAGUGACCCGGCGGUUCGGAAGUGGGACUGCCGCCGAUCAACGGAUAAAAGCUACCCCGGGGAUAACAGGCUAAUGGCGCCCGAGCGUCCCCAGCGACGGCGCCGUUUGGCACCUCGAUGUCGGCUCAUCGCAUCCUGGGGCUGAAGCCGGUCCCAAGGGUUGGGCUGUUCGCCCAUUAAAGCGGUACGUGAGCUGGGUUCAGACCGUCGUGAGACAGGUCGGUCCCUAUCCGCCGCGGGCGCAGGAGGCUUGCGGGGGGCUCGCCCUAGUACGAGAGGACCGGGCGGGACCAGCCUCUGGUGUCCCGGCUGUCGCGCCAGCGGCACGCGCCGGGUAGCCAUGCUGGGUCGGGAUAACCGCUGAAAGCAUCUAAGCGGGAAGCCCACCCCAAGAUAAGGCCUCCCACGGGGUUAACCCGGUAAGGGCCCGGGAAGACGACCCGGUUGAUGGGCUGGAGGUGGAAGCUCGGCAACGGGUGAAGCUGACCAGUCCCAAUCGCCCGAGGGCUUGACU